rfam:Ictidomys tridecemlineatus contig027012, whole genome shotgun sequence.
GGAAUUGUGGCUCAGUGGUAGAGCACUUGUCUGGCAUGUGUGAAGCCCUGGGUUUGAUCCUCAGCACCA